rnacentral:rRNA from 1 species
GACGAACGCUGGCGGCGUGCUUAACACAUGCAAGUCGAACGGAAAGGCCCUGCUUUUGUGGGGUGCUCGAGUGGCGAACGGGUGAGUAACACGUGAGUAACCUGCCCUUGACUUUGGGAUAACUUCAGGAAACUGGGGCUAAUACCGGAUAGGAGCUCCUGCUGCAUGGUGGGGGUUGGAAAGUUUCGGCGGUUGGGGAUGGACUCGCGGCUUAUCAGCUUGUUGGUGGGGUAGUGGCUUACCAAGGCUUUGACGGGUAGCCGGCCUGAGAGGGUGACCGGGCACUUUGGGACUAAGGUACGGCCCAGACUCCAACGGGAGGCAAUGGUGGGGAAUAUUGCACAAUGGGGGGAAGCCUGAUGCAGCAACGCCGCGUGCGGGAUGACCGCCUUCGGGUUGUAAACCGCUUUCGCCUGUGACGAAGCGUGAGUGACGGUAAUGGGUGAAGAAGCACCGGCUAACUACGUG